UACAGAGGUGGCAAGCGUUGCUCGGAAUCACUGGGCUUAAAGGGCAUGUAGGCGGCCGGACAAGCGUUUUGUGAAAUCCCGCGGCUCAACCGCGGAAUCGCAGGACGGACUGUCCGGCUCGAGGCAGACAGGGGCGACCGGAACUGUGGGUGGAGCGGUGAAAUGCGUAGAUAUCCACGGGAACGCCGGCGGUGAAAACGGGUCGCUGGGUCUUGCCUGACGCUGAGGUGCGAAAGCCAGGGGAGCGAACGGG
rnacentral:rRNA from 1 species